UACGUAGGGGGCAAGCGUUAUCCGGAAUUACUGGGUGUAAAGGGAGCGUAGACGGUAAUGUAAGUCUGGAGUGAAAGGCGGGGGCCCAACCCCCGGACUGCUCUGGAAACUAUGUUACUAGAGUGCAGGAGAGAUAAGCGGAAUUCCUAGUGUAGCGGUGAAAUGCGUAGAUAUUAGGAGGAACACCAGUGGCGAAGGCGGCUUACUGGACUGUAACUGACGUUGAGGCUCGAAAGCGUGGGGAGCAAACAGG
rnacentral:rRNA from 1 species